GCAUAUCAAUAAGCGGAGGAAAAGAAACUAACAAGGAUUCCCUUAGUAACGGCGAGUGAAGAGGGAAGAGCUCAAAUUUUAAAUCUAUCAUGUUUGUACAUGAUCGAGUUGUAAUUUGAAGAAGCGUUUUUCUCGUACUUUAUGCAAUCAGUAUAAGUUCUCUUGGAACAGGACAUCAUAGAGGGUGAUAAUCCCGUCUGUUACUGGUUGUGAGGUUCGUUAUGAUACGCUUUCAAAGAGUCGAGUUGUUUGGGAUUGCAGCUCCAAAUGGGUGGUAAACAUCACCUAAGGCUAAAUAUUUGCGAGAGACCGAUAGCGAACAAGUACCGUGAGGGAAAGAUGAAAAGAACUUUGAAAAGAGAGUUAAAAAGUAUGUGAAAUUGUUGAAAGGGAAACGAUUGAAGUCAGUCGUGCAGUCAUCAAUUCAGCGGUUAACAUUUUUAUGUUUCCGUGUAAUUUGGUGUCUGUUGGUUAGCAUCAAUUUUGAUUGUUAUAAAAAGGUUAAGGGGAUGUGGCUCCUUCGGGAGUGUUAUAACCCUUAGCGUAAUGUGACGAUUAGGAUUGAGGUUUGCAACGAAUACCUUUUAGGGCAGUUUCACCUGGCCUCUCGUGGAAUUAUAGAUAGUUAAGAGCAUGCUCUUACUGUCUAUGAUUCUACGAAAAGGUUAGUGUAAAACUAAUUCGUUAAGGAUGUUGACGUA
rnacentral:rRNA from 1 species